UUGGUGGUGAAUGCACAGAACAUCGUGGAGGCAGAGGGCGUUACCAAUUGCCACGUCUGUUCUCGUUUUCCUUCCGUUCAAAAUUCCCUCCGCCUAUUUCCUUUUCGUUUCCACCAUUAUCUCCUCUCUCAUUUCGUUUUUCCGGCUUCCACGCUUCAAUCUUCCCCCAAAAUCUAGGUAUCCGUCGUCUUCUUCACUCUCUAAACCAUGAAUAUCUUCAGGUUCGCCGGCGAUAUGACUCACUUGAUCAGUAUUUUAGUUCUUCUCCUCAAAAUCUAUGCAACCAAAUCCUGCUCGGGAAUUUCACUCAAGACUCAGGAGCUGUAUGCCCUUGUUUUUCUGACCCGGUAUUUGGAUCUAUUUACGGACUUCAUAUCUUUCUAUAAUACUGUGAUGAAGAUUAUUUUUAUAGCAAGCUCUCUGGCAAUUGUUUGGUGUAUGCGGGUUCAUCCAAUCGUGAGGCGGUCGUAUGAUAAAGAUCUCGAUACUUUUCGUUAUUAUUUUCUUGUUGCUGGAAGUUUGAUUCUCGCCCUUUUAGUGAAUGAGAAGUUCGGGUUUCAAGAGAUCUUUUGGGCGUUUUCUAUAUACUUGGAAGCGGUAGCAAUUCUUCCUCAAUUAGUCUUAUUGCAACGAAGUGGAAAUGUAGACAACUUAACUGGACAUUAUGUCUUCUUUCUUGGAGCUUAUCGUGCACUCUACAUUCUCAACUGGAUCUAUCGAUAUUUCACAGACAUACACUUCAAUCGGUGGAUAGCUUGCAUUGCUGGCCUGGUUCAGACAGCUUUAUAUGCUGAUUUCUUUUACUACUACUACAUUAGCUGGAGAAACAAUUCGAAGCUUCAGUUGCCAGCUUGAUUAAAGCUGGAAUCAGCGUAUGAUGUUAUGGAGCUUGAGAUCUAGUUAUGUUUUUACAUCAUGGUAGGUAAAUAUGGCUUGGGUGUGGGGAUAGAACACGUAAAUUCAAUCAUCACAAAUUCCUUCAUUUCCGGGUAGAGUACCUCAGUGUUAAAGUAUCAUCAGACAACUCUCUACUUUAAACUGCGGUCACUGCUUGUCAAAGACAAAGAAGAAUCAAUGUCUGAUUUGAAGAUAAGGCUGAUUCAAGUGUAUCAAAGGAAGAACGAACAAAUCUAAAAACGAAUCGUGUUGUGUUAAAAAGAAAGUUUCUGUAAAAGAUAACCUUGAAUCUUGGAAUGGUUGGUUGUGUAUUAAAUAACAAUGUAAGAGGUUAGUUGAAGUGAAAUAUUGUUACUGGGUGAUGCAUAUGAAAGGUGGUAUUGAUAUUGAAAA